GUGGGGAAUAUUGGACAAUGGGCGAAAGCCUGAUCCAGCCAUGCCGCGUGUGUGAAGAAGGUCUUCGGAUUGUAAAGCACUUUAAGUUGGGAGGAAGGGCAGUAAGUUAAUACCUUGCUGUUUUGACGUUACCGACAGAAUAAGCACCGGCUAACUUCGUGCCAGCAGCCGCGGUAAUACGAAGGGUGCAAGCGUUAAUCGGAAUUACUGGGCGUAAAGCGCGCGUAGGUGGUUUUGUAAGUUGGAGGUGAAAUCCCCGGGCUCAACCUGGGAACUGCCUCCAAAACUGAAUGACUAGAGUACGGUAGAAGGUAAUGGAAUUUCCUAUGUAGCGAUGAAAUGCGUAGAUAUAGGAAGGAACACCAGUGGCGAAGGCGACUACCUGGACUGAUACUGACACUGAGGUGCGAAAGCGUGGGGAGCAAACAGGAUUAGAUACCCUAGUAGUCC
rnacentral:rRNA from 1 species